rnacentral:lncRNA from 1 species
UGUAUUGUCUUGGGUUUUCGAGUACAUCUCUAUUUUCCCUUGGAGCCUGAAUUACGCCCCCAUGUUGUCUGGUGUCUUCGCGUGGUCAAGCUGAAGGUCCUGCACGGUCUCUGCUGCUGCCAUGCUAACUGUGUCUCGAUGGGGUGUGAGAUACUGAUGGAAUUGGAGUUGCUCUAUCGAGUAGUUCAUAGGCUUGUUCCGCUAAUUGUGCUAUCAGAGUGUUGUACUUGUCUUGAGGCAUAGCACGAGUGAUGAGGUUGAUGGAGGCAAUAGUAGCGAGUGGCAUAUUGUGCUGCUGUGUUUGCACUGCUUCGAAUGCUCUAUCGAGGUUCAUAAUUGGGAGCUGAGUCCUUUGGCUUUCGGCUUCUUCGACAAUGUUAGCAGAUAAUUCAUCUUGAGAUACAUCAUCUGGGUGACUCUCUCGUUAGGGGUUUCUUGGUUGAUGUUGUUCACCUUCUUCCCCGUUUGUAAUUAAAGU